rnacentral:lncRNA from 1 species
ACUUCGCUCAUUAUUGGAUAAUGACAAGUUGACUGGUCCCAACUUCAAUAAUUGGUAUAGAAAGCUGAAAACUCAGCAUAGUCAGACCAAAAGGAUUAAGGAUGACCACAGUCAGGCAGAAUGCUUCUAUUGUAAGAAGCAGGGGCAUUGGAAGAGAAAUUAUCCUCUGUACCUUACCUCACUUGACCCGAACAGGCUAAGCAAGAGAAAAGGGCAAUCAGUUGCUGAUCAAGGUAUUUAUAUGAUAACACCUUGUAAUUUCUCUAUAUGUGAUAAUUCAACCUGGGUAUUAGAUACUGGAAGUCCGUUUAAUAUAUGCAAUUCGUUGCAAGGACUUCAGGUCAAUGAGAGA